GACGAACGCUGGCGGCGUGCUUAACACAUGCCAGUCGAACGGAAAGGCCCUGCUUUUGUGGGGUGCUCGAGUGGCGAACGGGUGAGUAACACGUGAGUAACCUGCCCUUGACUUUGGGAUAACUUCAGGAAACUGGGGCUAAUACCGGAUAGGAGCUCCUGCUGCAUGGUGGGGGUUGGAAAGUUUCGGCGGUUGGGGAUGGACUCGCGGCUUAUCAGCUUGUUGGUGGUGUAGUGGCUUACCAAGGCUUUGACGGGUAGCCGGCCUGAGAGGGUGACCGGCCACAUUGGGACUGAGAUACGGCCCAGACUCCUACGGGAGGCAGCAGUGGGGAAUAUUGCACAAUGGGCGGAAGCCUGAUGCAGCAACGCCGCGUGCGGGAUGACGGCCUUCGGGUUGUAAACCGCUUUCGCCUGUGACGAAGCGUGAGUGACGGUAAUGGGUAAAGAAGCACCGGCUAACUACGUG
rnacentral:rRNA from 1 species